rnacentral:lncRNA from 1 species
GGCUUCUCCAGAGGCACUAUGGCAUAACCUCAAUUUCUGGGCUGUUGAUUUGUUGUUGUCAUUUUUAAGGCUUGCUAAGGAAGCUGCAUAAUCUACUACUUUGCCAAUACUCCACUUACUGCAAAAGAACAUAGGCUUGCUUUUCUCUUUGUUUCCCUUUGGUAAAAGAACUUGAAAGUAAAUUCUUUCCGCCUGAGGCAAGGACUUGUCACCACAUGCAUGCAUUUUCAGUUUCAUUAAUGCCACUUUUGCUGCUGUUUCACUGUUCCUUGCUCCUUUGCGUUUUUUGCUUUUUAUGUCUUCAUUUUUUUUAGAAU